GACGAACGCUGGCGGCGUGCUUAACACAUGCAAGUCGAACGGAAAGGCCCUGCUUUUGUGGGGUGCUCGAGUGGCGAACGGGUGAGUAACACGUGAGUAACCUGCCCUUGACUUUGGGAUAACUUCAGGAAACUGGGGCUAAUACCGGAUAGGAGCUCCUGCUGCAUGGUGGGGGUUGGAAAGUUUCGGCGGUUGGGGAUGGACUCGCGGCUUAUCAGCUUGUUGGUGGGGUAGUGGCUUACCAAGGCUUUGACGGGUAGCCGGCCUGAGAGGGUGACCGGCACCAUUGGAACUGGAAUCCGGCCCGACCUCUAACGGGGGGCAGAGGGGGGAAAUUUUCCCCAAGGGCGGAAGCCUGAUGCAGCAACGCCGCGUGCGGGAUGACGGCCUUCGGGUUGUAAACCGCUUUCGCCUGUGACGAAGCGUGAGUGACGGUAAUGGGUAAAGAAGCACCGGCUAACUACGUG
rnacentral:rRNA from 1 species